AUUGAACGCUGGCGGCAUGCCUUACACAUGCAAGUCGAACGGUAACGGGCCUUCGGGUGCCGACGAGUGGCGAACGGGUGAGUAAUACAUCGGAACGUGCCCGAUCGUGGGGGAUAACGAGGCGAAAGCUUUGCUAAUACCCCAUACGAUCUACGGAUGAAAGCAGGGGACCGCAAGGCCUUGCGCGGACGGAGCGGCCGCUGGCAGAUUAGGUAGUUGGUGGGAUAAAAGCUUACCAAGCCGACGAUCUGUAGCUGGUCUGAGAGGAUGAUCAGCCACACUGGGACUGAGACACGGCCCAGACUCCUACGGGAGGCAGCAGUGGGGAAUUUUGGACAAUGGGCGCAAGCCUGAUCCAGCCAUGCCGCGUGCAGGAUGAAGGCCUUCGGGUUGUAAACUGCUUUUGUACGGAACGAAAAGCCUUCUUUUAAUACAGGAGGGUCAUGACGGUACCGAAAGAAUAAGCACCGGCUAACUACGUG
rnacentral:rRNA from 1 species